UAGAGGUGUCAGAAAAGUUACCACAGG
rnacentral:ncRNA from 2 species